rnacentral:tRNA from 1 species
GGUAGUUCAGUUGGUUAGAAUGCCUGCCUGUCACGCAGGAGGUCGCGGGUUCGAGUCCCGUCC